rnacentral:rRNA from 1 species
AGUGAACGCUGGCGGCGGGCCUAAUACAUGCAAGUCGAACGAAGUGGCGCACGGGUGAGUAAUAUAUAGUUAAUCUGACCUACACAGAGGAACAACAGUUGGGAACGACUGGUAAUACAUCCUAGUGUAGGAUGGGACUAUAUCGUAUCAGCUAGUUGGUAAGGUAAUGGCUUACCAAGGGUAUGACGCGUAACUGGUCUGAGAGGAUGGGCACUCACAUGGUAACGGAGACACGGUUCAGACACCUACGGGAGGGGGCAGUAGGGAAUUGUGCCCAUGGGGGGAGACCCAGACGCAGCAACGGCGUGUGGAGCACUACAAUUGUCGGAGCAGGAACUGCUGUUAACAGGAAAACGUUACCUGAAGAAGAAGCACCGGCUAACUCCGUGCCAGCAGCCGCGGUAAUAC